AAUUCCGUUUUCCUCUUCUUCGCCAAUCCAACUCCCGUCUUCCUUCUUCCUCUUCCUUGUUCGAAUCCAAGUAACCUACCCAAACCGCCAACCCCCACCCCAAGGAAGGAACCCUAGUACCCUACCCGUGAGAACCGCCGCCGCACAACCCCGGACGUGGUGGCAGGCGACCGAUCCGGAUCCAUCAUCCCAAGCUUCCUUUCUGUCUCCUCUUCAUCCAUCUCCACAAGGAUAAUCAAGGAAGGAAGGCCAUGGUUUUGUUCGAACUUGACCCGGACAUCAUCCGAUGGGGUCUUCACCAUCUCCUCCCCGCUCCGGCUGGAUACUCUCCUCAUUGUCGCACCCAAACCACCCCUACCACACCUUGUACAGCUUUUGCUCGCCCUCCUCAUCAGCCCAUCGGAGACAUGGGUACCUCAAGCUCCGUUGAGAUCAAGGUCGAGCAUGUCGAUGGGGUUGACAACGACGCGAUCAUCGCACAAGCCCUCCAGGAGGAAUUGUCCAAUGUCGCCUUCGCCGAAGCGUCCGGGCCAACCUCUGCCGCUGACAAUCAACAACAUUCUGCUGUUCUCACGCAGCAAUGGCUUCGCCCACGCGCCGUGCAUGUAGAACCAGCUUCUCAAGAGGCAGGGACCAGGGAGGAACCUUUCAGCACCUGCUCAAGCCCUGGAGAUGACAAUAACGUCCAGGACAGCCAGCAAUGCUUGAUAGAGCUCAUGGAUAACUUCUCUGUCAUUGACGGUGAAGUGGGCAAAAGAUUGAACAACAUGGUUCCUGUUCCUCAUGUUCCUAAAACUAAUGGAGAGAUUCCUUCUGUUGACGAAGCCAUUUCAGAUCAUCAAAGACUUCUUGACAGGUUGGUGGUGUACGGUUUGGUUGAUCUCAAGGUUAAAGGAGAUGGCAACUGCCAGUUUCGAGCGCUGUCAGAUCAAUUUUACCGAACUCCUGAACAUCACAGAUUUGUCCGGCAGCAAGUGGUGAAGCAGCUUGAAUCGCAUCCUGAGAUUUAUGCAGGAUAUGUCCCUAUGGACUACAGGGAAUAUCUCAAAAAGAUGUCAAAGAGUGGAGAAUGGGGUGACCACGUUACAUUGCAGGCUGCUGCAGACUCGUACGGUGUAAAGAUCUUCAUCCUGACAUCAUUCAGAGAUACAUGUUAUAUUGAGAUUCUUCCUGUUGUUGAGAAAUCCAGAAGAGAGGUUUUGGCUAUCUAAACUCAGAAGUCCUGUUGUGCAGUUAUAUGCUUGAGUUUUUGGGCUGAGGUGCACUACAACUCCAUAUAUCCUGAAGGAGAGUUGCCGGUUUUGGAGUUUGACAACAAAAGGAAAAGGUGGUGGCCCUUCUAGCUAGGAUUCCCAGGACAGACUAGAUAGAGCAGCUUUAACAGACUGAGGCCUUUCUGUUGGGCUGUGACACUGACUGAUGACGAAAACGAGCCCAUGGGUGGUGGACGGAACUGCAUUGGCCUUGCCCUCCUUGCCCACACGAUAGACAUGUACAGUGCGUAGUAGAUGGUACUAUUUGCCUACUUGGUAACCCAUUCUCAGAUAUAUCUUUUAUCUCUAUUACUAUAAUAAAGCACCAACACGUAAUGGGCCGAUA